rnacentral:lncRNA from 10 species
GAGCUGGAAGGGGUAUCUGUUGAGUCUCCUCUUGGAUUUCAAAUCUCCCUGAUUUUUUGGUUUGAGAUCCAUACUAUAUUCAAAUGACCUGACUUCAUGCUCAAGGGGGAUUAAAGUUCUACUUUAAACCUUUAAGAGGAAAUCUCUGAAGAAAUCGUGGAUGGAAAUCCUGGCCAGUUACAUUCACUGAACCUUGAAACAAUUGUUACAAGAAACUCAACACGCCUGACUCAGGGUUACUGUUCAUUCUUCUGGAAGCUGCAGAGAAAGGGAACCUGGAAACCUGGUCUCUGAUAACUUUAGAGAUCAUACCAUUGGCCUAAGACUUCCAGAACUCUAUUAUAAAACUGAAGUGUUCAUGAAGAUUGCCAACCCGACAUCAAACAGUACAAGAAUUGAUUACCUGAGACUGAGCUGAUAGAGGACUAAAGUGAUUUCAUAAUUUUUUUGUUUGGAACAUUGUUGAUUCUUAUUAUUUCCAGAGUCAAACAAGUUUUUCGUUUUGAGUUACUUAUAGCUUACAGUAAUUGAGUAAAGUAUACUUUUGUGAGCAAAAUUGAAAUAUUUACCUUUCUCUCUACCUGAGUUAUGCAGAAUUUGAAAACUAUUUAUAAGUAUUCUUAAUUUAUGGGAAUAUAGUUAUUUGCAAAAGUUCAUUAAAAAAUCUGUUUUCAUUUGUAAAUAGAACUAAAUUAGAUACGCUGGUUAUUUUACCAAUGCUUUGGCUGAAGUGGCAUAUUUUCAGAUAUAACAAGACUGCUUUAAGUAGUUGAGUUUGACUUUUAGAGCCAAUAAAAUACUCCUUGAAAAGACUGGCCUGGUGCCUUUUCUACAAAGUUCCCUUACAACAUUCCUGACCUUGUUGUAGUAAAGAAUGUCACUUUUUGAGAGGACCAACUAUUUCAAGGUAUUUUAAGUCCUCAAGAGAAAAGGAAUUUACCCAAUUUGUACAGCUAUUACAGCCAUAUUCUGAUGACGAAUUCUUGGUUUUGUUUCCUAGUCUCAAGCAGCUUUAAAAGUCUUAUCUAAGAUUACUUGUAAAAAAUUUUUAGCAAAGUAGGGGCUGGGUUAGGUGGCUUAUGAGUGUAAUCCCAGCAGUUUGGGAGGCAGAAGCAGGUGGAUCACUUGUGGUCAGGAGUUUGAGACCAGCCUGGCCAACAUCGUGAAACCCCACCUAUACCAAAAAAUACACACACACACACACACACACACACACACACACACAAAAUUAGCUGAGUGUGGUGGCAUGCCUAUAGUCCCAACUACACAGGGGGCUGAGGUGGCAGAAUUGCUUGAACCCAGGAGGCACAGGUUGAAGUGAGCUGAGAUUGUGGCACUGCACUCCAGCCUGGGUGACAGAGUAAGACAUCGUCUAAAAAAGAAAAAAAAAUCAGCAAAGCCAACAUAAAAGGGCCUAUGUGGCCAUUCACUAUUCUUGUUGCACUUUAUGCAAAUAAUCAGGCAAAGCAUAAUAAUAAAUGUUAUUUUGCAAAUAAAUUUGCCCUACUAACAUCUUUCUUUGGGAAACUGGAGAGAGAAAAAUUAUAUUUCAGAAGAAAAAUGUAGUACACCAAUUAUUAGAUUCUAACUUUGUCUAUCGUUUGAGUUUUUAUAAUUUUCCUACAAUUUGGACUAAAUCUUGAAUUAUUUCUUGGCUACAAGUCUCUGAAGAAUGACUUGGUUUUAAUUUUUUUGUGUGUGUGAUGGUUUUAGGUGAUUCUUAGUGGAAUAGUGUGUGAGUGUGUUUUGUUUGUUUAGAAUGCAAAUUGUUUUUGUUGUAAUCCUUAUGUGCAUUAUAUUUCUACUAUGUAUCUCUUGUUGUUUUACUUCUUUAGAAAAAAAAAACUAUACUCACGGGAUCCUGAAGACUAAAGAUGAUUUGACAAAUGACAGCAGUUAUUCAUCAGUGACUUUACUUAUAUCUUAUUUUUUUUGCCACCCUGUGAUGCUAUCGCAAUUUGGUUUUUGUUGCUCUUACAAUUCCUUACUGAAACAUAUUCUCCCCAGAUUACCCAUGUGGAAUAGGACCAUCUGAGAAUGAGUUUUUCUAGUGAUGUGGGACUAAGCUCCUGAACAUAAAAGGAGCCAAAAUUGUUUGAGUUCAUCUACAAUGCUUUCUUUGAAAAACCCUGAUGAAAAGUGGGGAGAGGAUAAAAGAAAAAUCUCUCGGAGCUGUCUGAGGUAUUUGAGAGUUUUGCUCUUGCUGCUUAGACUGGAGUGCAAUGGCAUGAUCUCAGCUCACCGCAACCUCUGCCUCCUGGAUUCAAAUGAUUCUCCCGCCUCAGCCUCCCGAGUAGCUGGAAUUGCAGGCAUGUACCACCAUGCCUGGCUAAUUUUGUAUUUUUAGUAGAGACAGGGUUUCUCCAUGUUGGUCAAGCUGGUCUUCAACUCCCGACCUUAGGUGAUCCACCUGCCUCAGCCUCCCAAAGUGCUGGGAUUACAGGCGUGAGCCACUGCACCCGGCAAUACUAAUGGUUUAUCCAAGUAUCUGCUUAUCUGAAAUUCAAAUAUCACUGAGCUUAGCAUUUUCAACAAUGUAGAUGAUCAUAGAAGACAUUAUGCUAAUUGAAAGAAGCCAGUCACAGAAGGACAAAUACUGCAUGAUUCUACUUACCUGACUUAUCUUAAAUAGUCGAAAUCGUUGAAGCAGAGAAUAGACUGGUGGUUGCCAGGGGCUGAAGGGAAGGAGGAAAUGUGGAAUUGUUGCACAACUGGUAUAAAGUUUCAGUUAUACAAUGUGACUAAGUUUUCAAGCUCUGCUAUACAACAUUGUACUUAUAGUUAACAAUAUGGUAUUAUGUACCUUAAAAUAUAAAGAGAAUAGAUCUAUUGUUGAGUAUUCUUACCACAAACAAACCAAAAACUUACAGAAGAACACAAGAACAUUUUUGUAGGUGAUAAAUAGGUUGAGUAGCUUGAUUGUGGUGAUAUAGUGAGUAUAUGGUAUAUGCAUAUGUCCAAACUCUUCAAAAUGCAUAUAUUAAAUAUGUACAAUUUUCAUAUAUUAACUAUAUACUAAAAGCUUAUAUAUAUAAAUAUAGCUUAAGAAAAAUAUUGCAUUUCUAAGUUUUGUUAGAAAAAUUUCAAUUACUCAUAGAGGUACUAGUUUCACUCUUAAUUAUGUGCAGUGUAUUUUAUUAUCCAUAGGAUACUAUUGGAGGCUCACCAACUCUAAAUUGUUCAUGCAUAGUUCCUAUCACUACCAUUUUCAAAUACCAAGUAGAAAAGACCUACAUGAGUGAUGUAUUAAACAAAGAAAUAAACAAUCCACAAACAUUUCUUGAGUAUCUAUUAUAGAAACAGCAUCCAAGGAAAUAAUUGGAUAAAGAAUAGGAAAGGUUUUUGUUUGUCGGUUUGUUUUUAUCUUCCGGAUACAUAAUAAAUUACUUGUCAGUUUUCUGUCAAGAAAUCUAUUAAGCCAAAAGGUUGUAAGAAUGCACUGAGUUGGUUGUGAGGGUGGUAGCAAAUAAUCUUACAAGAAAAAUUUUAAGACAAAAUAGAAAGAAUGAAUGGCAAAUUUACAAAUUUAGAGAUUGCUUAAGAUUUGUUCCAAUAAUGAAUAAAUAAAAGUAAAUUAAAAUGAAAGUUUAAAAACAAAACAAAUUUAACUGGUUACACUGUUUUAUUUUUUUCUCCUAAUUCUGGCAACCCUAUGCCCAUUAAUAGGAAAAUUUGAUAUUUUUGUGCAUUGUAUCACUACAAACGAAUAAAAAGAAUAAACUAUUGAUAUAUUCAAUAACACAAAUAAAUCUCAAAAUAAUUAUUGAGUGAAAAAAGCCAGAGAAAAAUCAAUGGUAGUAUAAUUCUAUUUACAUAAAAUUCUAUGAAAUGAAAAGUAAUGGACAGUGACAGAAAGCAGAUUAGUGGUUGCCAAGGAAUGGGAGAAGGGGCAUAGUGCAGGUGCAGAUAGUUAUUACAAGGAGAAAAAAAAUUGGGGGGUUAUUGGUAUGUUCAUUAUCUCAAUUGUGGUGCUGAUUUUCACAGGUGUAUACCUAUGUUUAAACUCAUCAAAUUAUACAUUUUAAAUGAAUGCACAUUAUUUUAUGGCAAUAGUCUCUUAAAGUUAGUUUUAAGUAAAUAAAAAUUCAAAAAGAAGAAAAUAAAAAUAAAAUUUAAAAUUCAAUAACAUUCUUACUUGUUAAAGGUAGGUAAAGAAAGUUAAAAACUAAAUGUAUAUAAAUAAAGAGGUGUGGUUUUUAUAUAAAAAUACACAUAUUCUCAUAUAAAAUAAAUAAUUUAAAUGAACACAUUACUUGUUCAUGAAAGGGAAAAGGCAUUUUGUAGUUUAAUGUAAAUUUCAGCAGCCCGGCAUAGUGGCUCACGCCUGUAAUCCUAGCACUUUGGGAGGCCAAGGCAGGAGGAUACCUUGAGCGCAGGAGUUCGAGAUUGGCCUGAGUAACAUAGGGAGAUCCUAUCUCUGUUAAAAAGUAUAUAAAUAAAUAAAUAAAUUUUAGCAGAAUAAUUAUGAUUUUUUAAAAGUUUAAAUUAUUCUCAAAUCUGUUUAUAAUACCAAGUGUCUAGAAUUCUAAAAUAUUUGUUCAAAGAAGAAAAAUAUGAAGUAUACAGUUAGAGAAAACAAGAUGUUAAAUAUUUUGCAAGAAACUAAGUAAUAAUUUUAUGUUUUCAUUUAACACAAAUACAUUAGACAUAUAUUAUUUGACAGUUAUUCUUGGAGUCACUGCUACAAAAAUAAAAAAUAUGUCAAAGUUACUUUCUUGGGCUCAUAUUCUAUAGGUGGUAAUAGUAAAAAGUAAAUUCAAGAAAACAAUAUAAUUCCUGACAAUGUACAUUACUAUGGCAACAAAAAGGCCAGAAGUAACAGAAGAAAACGGAAGUGAAGUGUAUUAUUCUUCAUAGGAUGUCUGGGUAAGGUCUUUUCGAAGAGGCAAUGCGUGAUUUCAAAUUUGAAUGGAGGAAAGGAGAAAACCACUCACUCUCUGAAGAACAUAAUUUCAGUCCUGGGUAAAAAGUUUGGCAAACUUGAAGACAACCAUGAAGACUACUGAGUUUGAAGCCCAAUCAGUGAGAAAAAGAAAAAAAAAAAUCGUGAGAAAGGAGCUCAGAGAGGUAGUCAGAAACUAGAUUACAAGAUAUCCUACAGGCAAUGAUUGGACUUUGAAUUUUAUUUAUUCUAAGAGUAAUAGGGAAG